rnacentral:rRNA from 1 species
UGCAUAUCAUAAGCGGAGGAAAAGAAACCAACCGGGAUUGCCUUAGUAACGGCGAGUGAAGCGGCAAAAGCUCAAAUUUGAAAUCUGGUACCUUCGGUGCCCGAGUUGUAAUUUGGAGAGGGCAACUUUGGGGCCGUUCCUUGUCUAUGUUCCUUGGAACAGGACGUCAUAGAGGGUGAGAAUCCCGUGUGGCGAGGAGUGCGGUUCUUUGUAAAGUGCCUUCGAAGAGUCGAGUUGUUUGGGAAUGCAGCUCUAAGUGGGUGGUAAAUUCCAUCUAAAGCUAAAUAUUGGCGAGAGACCGAUAGCGAACAAGUACAGUGAUGGAAAGAUGAAAAGAACUUUGAAAAGAGAGUGAAAAAGUACGUGAAAUUGUUGAAAGGGAAGGGCAUUUGAUCAGACAUGGUGUUUUGUGCCCUCUGCUCCUUGUGGGUAGGGGAAUCUCGCAUUUCACUGGGCCAGCAUCAGUUUUGGUGGCAGGAUAAAUCCAUAGGAAUGUAGCUUGCCUCGGUAAGUAUUAUAGCCUGUGGGAAUACUGCCAGCUGGGACUGAGGACUGCGACGUAAGUCAAG